AUUGAACGCUGGCGGCAGGCCUAACACAUGCAAGUCGAGCGGAACGGCGGACGGGUGAGUAAUGACUAGGGAUCAGCCUGGUAGUGGGCGAUAACGUCAGGAAACGGGAGAUAAUAACGCAUAAUAUAAGAGGAGCCUCGGCCGGAUUAGCUAGUUGGUGGGGGAAAGGCCUACCAAGGCGACGAUCCGUAACUGGUCUGAGAGGAUGAUCAGUAACACUGGAACUGCGACACGGUCCAGACUCCUACGGGAGGCAGCAGUGGGGAAUAUUGGACAAUGGGCGAAAGCCUGAUCCAGCCAUGCCGCGUGUUUGAAGAAGGUCUUCGGAUUGUAAAGCACUUUAAGUUGGGAGGCGUUACCAACAGAAUAAGCACCGGCUAACUUCGUGCCAGCCGCCGCGGUAAUUC
rnacentral:rRNA from 1 species